rnacentral:tRNA from 1 species
AGAAGUGUGCCCGAGUUCAGGGACUAUCUUGAUGAGAUAGCUACAGAGCAUCAUAACUCUCACUUCCA